rnacentral:lncRNA from 1 species
UACCAAGGUACCACUGUGCAUGCUUCGUUUGUCAUGAGCUAACUUGCAAUGUUCUCUCCAGGGAGCAGCGAGGAGGUUACUAAAUUUCUCAGUUGCUGACAAAAUGAGUGAGAAUAUGAAAAUCAUGGUAAUUUUAGGUUCCACAGUAAAGGGCCUCGGCAUCGUAAUACCGGCAGCCGUUGUUCCGUGUGUGUGUGCUGCCGCUGUGGUGAUCACUAUUGCCUGUGUCGCUGAAAGGGUCAUCAAUAAACCCAAUAAUGAAUGAGCAUGAAAGAAUGAAGCUGAACCCGAGCGAGUUGCUCCUUGUCACAUUGUGUGUCUUUGCCCAAGGAAACUAAGCACAAAUAAAUCAUUCAGUUGGAUGUAUUCCGUGUGACUCGCUUAUUUUGCUUAUACAACCAAUCAGCCGCAAUCCAGUGACACACUUUGGCAAUACCAGGCUCGGGAUUUAAUGAUCCGAACAGCCCCCAUCUGUUUUCCAAUGACAAUACGUGUCCCUUGAUUCGUUUCAAAAUGUGUCACACCAGCCUUCUUGCAUGGGGGGGGGGCUUCCUGGCUGACCUUAGUCCCACAACCGAAGAGCCCAUUUAUAUGAC